CUUAGCCCCAUUUUUUUGUGCGACGAAGUAUUUUCAUUUUUUUCGAAACAAACACUUUGUUGAGCUUAGAGUUGACGCAACAUUCGACCCUUCUCUCAAUCACCGUAGUCGACGGCAGCAUCAACCUCAAAACUUGCAAGAACUGCAAAACCCAAUUCGACCUUUCUCUCAAUCACCCUCUUGCUUCUCGAUUUCACACUCCCCAUUUUGAAGGUCUAGUAAGUGCUUAAACCCUACGCAGAAUAGCUUUUAGGGUUUAUUACCAUACCAAUUCGGAACCCUUUCAAUUCGAAGAAAGCUCAACCAUAGCCGAUUCGAAAGCAAAUGCAAAGUGGCAAAAUCAGAAGCGAAAACAAAGAUUCGAUGCUGAACCUCAAACUUCUUCCAAGCGACACCGUUCUGAUAUUGCUCCGAAGCGUCAUGGUCCCUAGAACAAUCUUCAACUCAUACUUUGCAUCCUAGACAAAGACAAUGAUCUUUCUAGAGUUUUGUGCCUUAUGCUUGCAGGUUGUAAUUCAGACAAGAAUUUUAACGAUAUGGGCACUCAAUUCUACCAAAGUAAUCUCAACCACUGGUGGGAGCCUCACUCAAGCAUGGAUCAAAGUCAAUUUUGGCAAGCUGCCGGACAAUUUGAGAAUUAUCCACAACAAUAAUGGCAGCAACAACCCUCUCUAUCGGAAAGAAGGCCAACAAUUGAGGACACACUUCAACAGUUUUUGCAGGUGUCCAGCUCCACUCAGAAAAACAUUGAAGCAUCAUGUAAAAGGAUGGAGAUGAACCUUCGUUACAUUAGUCAGAGAUUGAACGAUUUUAAGGUUAAUGCUGAAGUUAACCCUAAGGAGGAAGGUCAAGCCAUUGUCACUGAAAGUGACAAUAUUUUUUAUGAGAAAAAAAUACGGAGAGAUGAGGAAAAGAUAGAGAGAAAAGAAGAGUUGAGUGAGAAAGAUAAAGAUGAAGAAAAAGAAAAAGAAGUGGUUGAGAGAAAGAAAAUUUGUGUGAAAAUAAAGAAGUUGAGAAGAAACAGAGAAGGGAAGGAAAAAAUAAGAGAAAAGAAAAAGAGAAAAUUUAGGGAGAGGAAAAGUAAGAAAAAGAAGAUGAGAGGAAAGAAGAAGGAAUCAUAUGAAAAACUCCAUCCUCAUUUAAAGAAGUAUCAUAGGAAGGAAAAGAAAUUUAAGUGCUUUAUGGAAAUCUUCAAGAAAUUGGAGAUUAAAGUUCCUAUGAUUGAGACACUGCAACAGGUUCCUGGUUUGAUCAAAUUUCUGAAGAAGUUCAGUAGAAAGAAGAAAAAGAAGAUGGAACAUGAGCUUUAUUGGGUCAAGCUAGUGACGUUAAAAGAGCGCUUGCUGGGAGGCAACCCAGUGAUUUAAGAACUUUUAAUUUUUGGUUUGGUGAUGUAAUUUUGAACUUUUGGGUAUUUUUGUUUUUGUUAUAAGUUUGUUACAGGGUUUACAUCUACUGAUGGAUGUUAGGCGGAAGAGUAUCUACUGAAGGAUACUAUGAUUGUAUACACCUACUGAUGGGUGGUGGUAAGAAAGAUUUGCAUCUACUGAAGGGUGCUGGAGGCAACUCUUGGGUCAGGCUCGUGAUGUUAAACAAGCGCUACUUGGGAGGCAACUCAGUUGAUUGAUUUUAUCUGUAUUGUUUGUUUUGAUUCUGCUUUAGUUAUAUGAUAGGGAUUGAAUGUUUGAGUGACCUGAGAACUUAAUUGCAAGGAGCAAGUGAGGGGCAUGAGUAGAAGGCACCUAGGGUAAGCUAGGAAGAAGAAAAACACAACACGAAAGUGCCGCUGAGCGGUGGUAUCGUAAAAUGGGCUUAGGUUGCCCCUUAGCGGAACCCGACCCCAUUAAGGUAUUUUUAUACCCUAAGUCACGCUUUGGCCUCUAUUUUCAGAUUCUUCUCUGCACACAUACUCCUAAACACUUUUCCAAAGGUUCUCUACAUUUUUCCUUUCAUUCCUCUUUAGAAAAUCUCCCUUCUACUUACUUUCUCACUAGUUUUCCAUCUAAGUUUGGGGUUGGGAGAGAGCAUCAUUGAUGGGGCUGAGUUUUUCAAAGCACUAGAGUAGAAUUUGUUUUAUCAAUCACUUUUGUUUUUAGAAUAGGGUUUGAUGUACUCAAUUGGAAACUUUGUCUGUUAUGAUGGUUUGCUUAUGAUUGUUGUUUGAUAAGUAGUGCCUGAUGAUGCUUUGAUAUUGAUUGAUGUUGAGAUGUGCUCAUUAGAUGCUUAUAUAGGUGAUUCACAAGCUUCGUGAACAAAUGCAUGAUAUUGUGAUUAUGAUUCUAAGCAGGAUGUUAUAUGUGGAAUGUGGAUGAGCUUAUGUGAGGUUUUGAGCUCCAUAAUUGUUAUUAUUGAAUGUUAUUACUUUGAAAGCAUGAAUGAUUUUGCUAAGGUUUUCUAUGAUUGAAUCAAUUGCUUGUUUUGCAUCAUAUGAUCAAGGCCAUUUGUUGGUAACUUUUUUAUUAGCCAAAUUCAUGAAUUUAGCCCACUAAAAGAGAGAACUUUGUGUUCCAUCAUUUGAACCCUUAGCCUUGAACAUAAUUUGAAAACCCUUGUGAAAAGCUUUACCUUGAGUUAAGUAGAAAAUAUUUUGUGGUAUUGAUAAAUGUUCAAGUUUGGGGUUGUUGGGAAGUUAUGAAAGGGAAAUUGAAAGCAUUGAGCUAAGAGCUAAGAAAUAAGAAUGUGAAAAGAAAAAGAAAAAGAGAAAGAAAAGAAAAGAAAAGAAAAAACAAAGCUCAAUGCAAAAGAAAGUUGGGAAUAAAUAAGAAUGAUUGUGUCGAUAUGAUGCUCUUAACUCAAGGGUUUUGUGAUCUAGAAAAAACCAAUUUUCUUGUUACCCUAGCCACAUUGUAAGCCAUUGAAAAGUCCUUGUGAUGAUGCAUGCUUGUGAAUUUAUUUGAUUAUGGUUAAAUGAAAGGCAAAGUCAAUUCAUGUGACAUUGUAAUAGUAGAGUGAAUGAGUAAUUACCUCUUAUACACUUGUGUUUGAGUGAAACACUUUACCUAGUGAGGAAAUAUUCCAUGAGCACAUGAAUAUCCAUGCUUAGUUGAUUGAUCAUUCAUGAGAAAUAGAAUUUGUUGGAUAUUAAGUGAAUUUGUGAACACCGAAGCAUGUGCAUGUCUUGAUUGAAGUCUUUGUCAUGAGCUUAAUUGAAGUACUUAUCUUGAAAAGAGGAUUUGUGAAUGGAGUGAACCAUUGUAUUGAUUGGUAGAAGAUUGAGUUACAUCUUGUUUGCUUGAGGACAAGCAAAGUUUUAAGUUUGGGGUUGUGAUAAUAGUUGAAAAACUGUUAUUUUCAUGCUUAAAGUUGAUACUAAAAGUAACCUUUAACACUCAGAAACUAGCUUGAACUCAUAUUUUUGCUUUAGUUUUGUGAAUAAGAGAGUUGAAAGUGAAUUUAAUGGUUUUGUGCAAGAUUCCCUUGAUUUUGUAGGCUAAUUGAAUGAUUUGAAAGAAGAAAUGAAGUACCGAAUGAUUAGAGUGCUGAAAAGUCCACCAGAAACCAAAAAAGUCAACUAGUCAACCAGAAAAGUCAACAAUCAACCAAAAAAGUCAACCAGUCAACCAUAAUGUUGAAAAGUCAACCAGAAUACAGAAAAAGUUCCACUGAGCGGCACUUUUCAGGUGUCAAAAUCACCGCUGAGGGGCAAAAACAGCAGCUGGGGGCAAAAUGGAUCAUGCGCUAUUACCGCUCAACGGUAAAAUACCGCUGAGCUCCAUUCUAAGUGGGCUUGGACCGGUUUUCUGUUAGUUUUAUGGGCUGGGGCCUAAUUUUCUGUAUUUUUAGAAUAGUAUAUAAGCUUUAGGACAUCCUAGGGUUUGUAUCUUUGGCUGGGACGUAACAAACACUCUCUUUUCCACCCCUUUGAAGGAAGAUCUUGGAUGCUCAGGCUACCUCUCUACCUUUCUCGGGUUUUAUCUUUCAUUCUUUCAUUAUUGUUCAUCUAGAUUCACCAUGAAUAUGGUGAACUAAACCUUGUAUUUUUGUUGGGGAAUCAAUGUAAUCUUGUGAAACUCUCAUAUAUGGAAUUUGUGUUUAAACAUCUUAUUUGAGAUACAUGCUUUCUUUCA